ensembl:snRNA U6 U6 spliceosomal RNA
GUGUUUGCUUCGGCAGCACAUAAACUAAAAUGGGAACAAUACAGAGAUUAGCAUGGCCCCUGUGCAAGGAUGACACUCAAAUUUGUGAAGCGUUCCAUAUUAAA